CCUACGGGAGGCAGCAGUGAGGAAUAUUGGUCAAUGGGCGGGAGCCUGAACCAGCCAAGUCGCGUGAGGGAAGACGGUCCUACGGAUUGUAAACCUCUUUUGCCGGGGAGCAACGGGGUCCUUGCGAGGGCCCGAUGAGAGUACCCGGAGAAAAAGCAUCGGCUAACUCCGUGCCAGCAGCCGCGGUAUUACGCGGGAGGCGAGCGUUAUCCGGAUUUAUUGGGUUUAAAGGUUGCGUAGGCGGUCUGUUAAGUCAGCGGUAAAAUGUCGGGGCUCAACCCCGGCCUGCCGUUGAAACUGGCGGACUAGAGUGGGCGAGAAGUAUGCGGAAUGCGUGGUGUAGCGGUGAAAUGCAUAGAUAUCACGCAGAACUCCGAUUGCGAAGGCAGCAUACCGGCGCCCUACUGACGCUGAGGCACGAAAGCGUGGGUAUCGAACAGGAUUAGAUACCCUUGUAGUC
rnacentral:rRNA from 1 species